AGUGAGGAAUAUUGGUCAAUGGGCGCAAGCCUGAACCAGCCAUGCCGCGUGCAGGAUGACGGUCCUAUGGAUUGUAAACUGCUUUUGUACGAGAAGAAACAACAUUACGUGUAAUGUCUUGACGGUAUCGUAAGAAUAAGGAUCGGCUAACUCCGUGCCAGCAGCCGCGGUAAUACGGAGGAUCCAAGCGUUAUCCGGAAUCAUUGGGUUUAAAGGGUCUGUAGGCGGUUUGGUAAGUCAGUGGUGAAAGCCCAUCGCUCAACGGUGGAACGGCCAUUGAUACUGCCAGACUUGAAUUACUGGGAAGUAACUAGAAUAUGUAGUGUAGCGGUGAAAUGCUUAGAGAUUACAUGGAAUACCAAUUGCGAAGGCAGGUUACUACCAGUGGAUUGACGCUGAUGGACGAAAGCGUGGGGAGCGAA
rnacentral:rRNA from 1 species